AUGUGCUUUGCACACGAAGAAGAAAGCCAUUUAAAGAAAAUGUUAGAUGCAGGUAUAAUAGAACCAUCUAUAUCAGAAUGGGCAUCUGCGCCAGUACUUGUGCGCAAGCGCGAUGGCAACGUGCGCUGGUGUAUAGAUUACAGGAAAUUGAAUUCCGUGACGAAAAAAGAUGUCUACCCGCUUCCUCUGAUAGACGAAUGUUUGGACACUUUGGCGGAAAAUGAAUGGUUUUCAAAAUUGGACGCAAAUAGUGCGUAUUAUCAGGUAAAAGUGAAGGACUCAGACAAAGAAAAGACAGCCUUCAUCACUAAAUACGGAUUAUUCCACUUUGUCCGAAUGAGUUUUGGCCUUUGCAAUGCCCCAGGGACAUAUUCAAGAGUAAUGAAUCUCGUUCUCCGAGGCUUAACAUGGAAUGUUGUACUUGCCUUCCUAGACGAUAUUCUAGUAAUGGGAAAGACAUUUGAAGACCAUUUACAGAAUUUAAGAUCAGUUUUUGAACGUUUCAGAGAGUAUGGGCUGAAAUUGAAACCCAGGAAAUGUGAUUUCUUUAAAAAGGAAAUAGACUUUUUAGGCAGAACAAUCAAUAGAGAUGGUAUGGCCAUUGGCAGUGAAUAUGUUGAAGUUGUCAAGAAAUGGAAAGUACCUACGACAACCAGAGAGGUUGAACAAUUUCUAGGCUUUGCCAAUUACCAUAGAACUUUCAUAAAGAAUUUUGCAGAUCUGUCUUACCCUUUGUAUCAAUUGACCGGUAAGAAACCGUACAAAUGGAGAGACUCAGAGCAAGAGGCUUUUGACAAACUUGUAGAGGCAUUGACAACUACUCCUUUAUUGGCAUUACCCAACAAUAAAGACCCGUUUAUUUUGGACACAGAUGCUUCCAAUUUCGCAAUUGGAGCAGAGUUGAUACAAGUCCAAGAUGGCGUAGAGCGUCCAGUUGCAUACGGAAGUUUUUCAUUGACCCAUGAGCAAAAGCGGUAUUGCACGACAAGAAAAGAAUUGCUUGCUGUAGUGAAAUUCACCAGACAUUACAGACAUUACCUUUUAGGACGAGAGUUUAUAGUCCGUACAGACCAUAGCAGUUUAACAUGGUUGUUGCACUUUAAAGAGCCACAAGGACAACUAGCUCGAUGGCUUAGAGGAGCUAAGCCAGUAUCACAUGACAGUUAAACACAGGCCAGGUAAAAGACACCAAAAUGCGGACGCAUUAUCACGUCUGCCAGAUUUAGCCUGUCCACAGAAUAGAUUAGCAGCUGGAAACGUGCUAAAACACAAUCUACCCUGUGGAGCAUGCGAUUACUGUACUCGUGCUCACCAAAGUUGGCUUGGUUUUCAAGAAGACGUAGAUAAUGUUAUUCCUUUAGCUUCACAUCAGGACUGUAAAAGUUUUGAACCUAUAGGACCACACACAGUACUACCGAGUUCUUUGAUUUCUGAUGACAAUUUACUGAAACAGGACAAUACCCAACAUACAUAUGUAAUUAUAGAGGACAAUGCUAGACCAGACAGUUCAAUACCACAAGAUGAGGACCAGAACGUGACUAGUCACGUGAAGGAGAAUUUAAGUACAUUUCAGGUCCAGCAACAAGUAUUUGACAGUACAAAUCAAGAUAUAGUAAACCAGAACCAAAAUGUUUGUCACAGUUCAGUUGAAAUAGUCACUACACCCACUUGGUAUGUCAGUUUACGCGACAUAUUUGGACUUCCCAAAUGUAAAUGCCAUUACUGAGACAGGUAUAGAAGCUAGUACUUAUUCACCAGAACAAUUACGAGAUUAUCAGUCUAAAGACCCAGACUUGGAGUUAAUACUGGUAUGGCUCAGGGACAAAACAGAACCAUCAGAAGCUACAAUAUUCAGAUGCAGUCCAAUAGCUAAGAAAUAUUGGAUAAACAAAGAUAUGUUCUAUUUAGAUGAUAAUGGAAUAUUGAGAAAUUUGGACAAGAAAGACAGAACACCAAGACUUGUGGUACCAAGAGAUCUUGUUGAACAAGUGAUAUCAUUAUGUCAUGAUAUUCCUGCUGCAGGUCAUCAAGGUAUGAAUAGGACCACAUUGAGAAUUAAGGCAAAAUAUCAAUGGUAUGGUAUGACACAAAAAAUAAGAGACUUUGUGAAGACAUUCAGUACAUGCAAUCUACACAAGAAGCCAAACAGAAAGGCUAAAUCUCCGCUUACCCAGUUUCAUGCAGGUGCACCAAUGGAGCGAGUCCACUUAGAUUUUCUAGGACCACUGCCAGAGACGAAAUUUGGGAAUGCUCAUGUACUAGUUAUGGUUGACCAGUUUUCCAAAUGGAUGGAAUGUAUUCCGUUACCAGCACAAACCGCAGAGCAUACGGCAAGAGCUGCAGUGAACGAGUUUUUCUCUCGUUUUGGAUUCCCAUUUCAGGUUUUUACAGACCAAGGACGCAAUUUUGAAAGCAAGCUUUUCAAAUCCAUCUGUGAAAUCUUGCAAAUGCACAAAGCGAGAACUACUCCGUACAGACCAUCAUCAAACGGACAAGCAGAACGUUGCAACAGAACCUUAAUGGACGCAGUCCGUUGCUUCGUGUCUAAACAACAAGACAAUUGGGAUGAACAUUUGGCACAGUUGGCAGGAGCUGUUCGAUCGUCAGUAAACAGGAGUACUGGUUUUACGCCAAACAUGCUGAUGCUUGGGAGAGAGGUUAACCAGCCUGUUGAUUUAUUGUACAGUGUACCUGGUGCUAAAACAGAUGAGUCACAAGAUGAGUAUGUGAGAAGACUCCGAGAUGCCAUAACAUCUGCACACGAAAUAGCGCGCAAUACGCACAAAACUACUCAGAAUACCAUGAAACGUGAUUAUGAUGUACGUAUUCUGGAAAGAGAAUACAAAAUAGGAGAUUUAGUUUAUGUUUUAGACACAGCAAAAAUUAAAGGUAGAGCGAAGAAAUUGGACCCACCUUGGAAAGGUCCAGGACUUGUAUGUGAAAAAUUAUCUUCGUAUGUUUACAAGAUAAAACUACAAAAAUCUGUACUGACAAUAAAUCAUGACCGUUUAAAGCCAUGUAAGGACAGAGAAGUACCACCCUGGUUAAAACAGUGCCAGCACCGGUUACAGGACGGUGAAGAUGUGACUAAGGCGACUAACCCAGACUUGUACUGUUUGUGCAGAAAACCAGAUAAUGGACUGUUUAUGAUACAGUGUGAUUUUUGUCAUGAGUGGUACCAUGGAGCUUGUAAAGAUUUGACACCAGAGCUGGCGGACACUAUGGUAAAGUUUAGAUGUCCACGGUGUCAGAACUCUGGCACCGCAAGGUAAGUUUACAUAUUAAGGCAAUAUACCAGUAGUAUGAUGUAUAUAUUUAGCAUAUGUUAUAAUUAGCUUUUGUUGUGUUUUUCAGAUUGUGUAUUUUGGAUUAAUCAUGAGUAAAAGGCCAAGUAAGGAUGAUGCAAACAGUUGGCCUACACCUUCAGAGGCAUAUGAAGGUACACCAUUGCCUUUCCCCCCGGGAGAACAGCGGGGAGAUGUACGUGAAAGUCACGAACAAGCGGUAAAGAAAGAACCUGAUGAUGUUCUGAAUUUACAUGACAUUAAUUAUAUAGAUUGGACUGACAUUCAAGUUCAACGUCCUCAGGAGCCUACUGACAAAGAGAAGAGAGUCAUUCACCUAUAG
rnacentral:sRNA from 1 species